UGGGGAAUAUUGCACAAUGGGCGCAAGCCUGAUGCAGCCAUGCCGCGUGUGUGAAGAAGGCCUUCGGGUUGUAAAGCACUUUCAGCGAGGAGGAAGGUGGUGAACUUAAUACGUUCAUCAAUUGACGUUACUCGCAGAAGAAGCACCGGCUAACUCCGUGCCAGCAGCCGCGGUAAUACGGAGGGUAGCAAGCGUUAAUCGGAAUUACUGGGCGUAAAGCGCACGCAGGCGGUUUGUUAAGUCAGAUGUGAAAUCCCCGGGCUCAACCUGGGAACUGCAUUUGAAACUGGCAAGCUAGAGUCUCGUAGAGGGGGGUAGAAUUCCAGGUGUAGCGGUGAAAUGCGUAGAGAUCUGGAGGAAUACCGGUGGCGAAGGCGGCCCCCCUGGACGAAGACUGACGCUCAGGUGCGAAAGCGUGGGGAGCAACCAGGAUUAGAUACCCUGGUAGUCCACGCUGUAAACGAUGUCGAUUUGGAGGUUGUGCCCUUGAGGCGUGGCUUCCGGAGCUAACGCGUUAAAUCGACCGCC
rnacentral:rRNA from 1 species